UGCGCUGUGCUCUCCCUCGAAGCGCUAAUGCGACUUGCACGACGUCGUUAGAGCAACAUGGAACGAAGUCAGCAAGCUCUCGUUACUCGAAGCGAGGCGGAUCGGCGUCUCGCUCUCCCCUCGAAAGCCUUGGGAAAGGCGCGCGGUAAAUCAAGCUCUCCCGCCUCAGGCAAGUGCGCUGAGUACAGCUCUUCUCCAAUGUAAAGCAGCGGUGUCGCGUUGGUCGAGUCGAGCUCAGAUGCUAACCCGCGACACCAUUUUCAAGUUAUCACAUCUCGAUACACGCCCGCUCAAGCGGAACGCUAUGGCCCCGAGCACUCACUCCUCAGCGGGAGACAAAGACGGCACUGGAAUAUCGCGACGUGGUUCUUGUAUUCGCUUUCGCCGUUGCCGCGUGCGUCUGCGAUGCCAGUGUGCUGCCUGCGGCGCCAUACGUGGCUGCCGCACCGUUAGCCGCACCGUAUGUCUUGCACCACGCACCAGUGUUCCACCACCCUGUAGUGGCCCACCCGGCGCCGGCUCCCGUUGUGGCGGCGCUGCCCGGCUACUCCUACACGUACACGUCACUCGCCCAGACACAUCCCGUUGCUGCCGCACCGUUUCAUCUGGUUGGAAAAUAAAGGACGUGUAACCGCAUACCGACUGCAGGGUAUGAUAUUUCAGGGAACGGAGUCCAGGUUGCGGAAGUGAUCGCGGCUCAACAGUUUUUCAUCCUCAGGACUGAACGGCUUCAAAAAAAGAAAAAAAAACAAUGUAUCGACCGAAGACAAGUGUGUAAUGACUGUACAAGAAAAAUAUUAAAGAAUGGUACUAUGAAACCAAUAAAGACAU